rnacentral:pre_miRNA from 1 species
UAGAUAGAUUAUUGUAUUCGACUGUAUUCACGAUAUGUAUUUGUGAAUACAAUAAUGUAAAUAACGCAAUUCAUAGUCUAUUCAACCGUUUUAAACGGAAAGUGAAUCAAUUAACAUAAUAGACUCCU